UACGUAGGGUGCGAGCGUUAAUCGGAAUUACUGGGCGUAAAGCGUGCGCAGGCGGUUUUGUAAGACAGGCGUGAAAUCCCCGGGCUCAACCUGGGAACGGCGCUUGUGACUGCAAGGCUAGAGUACGGCAGAGGGGGGUGGAAUUCCACGUGUAGCAGUGAAAUGCGUAGAGAUGUGGAGGAACACCGAUGGCGAAGGCAGCCCCCUGGGCCGAUACUGACGCUCAUGCACGAAAGCGUGGGGAGCAAACAGG
rnacentral:rRNA from 1 species